CAGAUUUUUCUUAGAUGCUCCCCCCCCCCCGCCCCCUAAACAUUCAGCUAUAAAAAGGGAUUUCACCUUGUAUACAUAAAAAACAACACAAAUCAUUUCCUUACCUUAACUUCUUCAUACUUCUUUCUUGUACAUUAAAAAAUGUCAUCCAAAGCAGAUCUUGCCAGAAUAGGAAAGGAGGCCUUCGACAUACUUGAAGCAUAUCAGGGAAAAAAGACAAGGCCUAAUUCACACCCCAAGCAAGAGCAUAAACCGGCCUGUCUUUACCGAUACCAUCCACAACAGGCUCUUGUUUAUCAGGUAAAACCGAAUGAGAUUAUGAACUCCUAUGAGGUGUUGCAGUUUCACGAAGGUGUGAACAUUAAGAAUUAUGGCAGCAAAUCUCAAGCUAUACCUUAUUAGACUCUCUUUUCUGCACUGUGUUGAUAUGUAAUAUACGAUAUGCAAAUAGGCAAAGUUAAGUAUGCUUCCCUUUGUAUGACACAAAAGUGGAGUCAGUUGUAUACAUACUAGUCAUCUGGCAGUUUUAAGUGCGUAGAUGAAGUCUGUAACACUUUGUUAUAUGAAUUGGUGUUAUCAGAUUUAAUAAUGAAUUAGUAGUAUUCUUCAGCAACCCUCCAACCCCCCCCACCCCACCCCACCCCAUCCUCUCGUCUUCUCUUCUUAACUAGAAAAAUAACUUACCGAAAUAUAUGGCUGACCAGAGCUUUGACGGUAGCUGAUUCCAUGCCUUUUGACCAGUUCUUGCUUCACUUCUAUUAAGGCCACAUCCGCUAUGCGCUCAAGCAUCUUGGAAUUUUUUUCUCUCAUAAGAUGAUAAGGCCAAAUCCCUGAGAGCUCCAAUAUCAAGCAAUGGAAUAACUUAUUAGCACUACGGAUGGAGGGUUGGAUAUAAAAUUUCAAAUCAGGCUAUUACGUGGGGAAAAAAAAAUUUACACAUAAAAAAUUAAUUUUUUACCAAAAAAAAUAUAAAAUACCUUUAAAAAAAAGUUGUUGGGCCUCCACCCCCACCAAAAUCCGUCCCUGCUUAUACGAUACAUGUACUAGAGAAAAAAACCCGAAGGGUACAUAAUUUUAGACCCUUAUGGAGGAGUUAUGCUGGUAGCGGUGGCUGCAUUCACUGGUUUUGGGAGGUGGGGUUGGCAAAGAAGAUGAUUUUUUAUUUUUUCAUUUAAUUAGUUUAAUUGUUUUAUAUGAGAUAAUAUAAAAUUACCAUUUUACUCUUUGAAAAUUGGUCAAGUUCUAGUCAGAUUGUUGACUUUUGAUCAACUAAUGAAGUAAUGGAUAGAUUCCAUCAAUUCAUCCUCCAUCCGCGGUCGAAAUAAAAGAUUUGGAAAUGUGGG
rnacentral:lncRNA from 1 species